GGAGAGCCCUGUCCAAUACAAGCUGCAGGGCCACUGGCUGAACCUGAGGCAGAAAACAAGAGCCAAGAUGGCAUCAACCUGGACUUUAAGAGGCAGAGAAGUAGCUGCAGUUCUCAGUCCAGAAAUUUAUGGAUGUCUUGAGGUGUUUACCUUGAGGAGCUCGGAGGGGCAAGUGGGAACUGCAAUGCAGUGUUUGGCAAUCAUGGAACCA